GCAAGAAGAAGUUUAUCAGUUAGUUAGAGCGUGGUGCCGAUAACGCCAAGGUUGCAGGUUCGAUCCCUGUAUAUGACAGCUGCA